CCAGUGGCUCAACAAGGCAGCCGCAGUUAUCAUUAAAUGUCCCUUCCAAGCCCAGGAAAGCUGAGAUGGGGAAGCCAUUGGGCUCCUCACAGCCUUUGGCUAAAAAGAGACAAUUGGGGGGGGGGGGGGCGGGAGUUGCCCGCGGGCCCCAGAGGCCGAGAUCUCCCUGUGUUGGAGCCUCCCCGGGAGAAUGACAGCCCUUCUGGGGACAGGACUUUGCAAACCAGGCAGGUGUCGCCCCUGUGACAUCCUGGGGGCCGGGCUGUGGGAGCGCUUUCCUGGGCGUCAGCAGCACCCCCGAAUCCUGCACGUCUUGGAGCUCUGUAGACAAAUGUUGGAGAACCCGGGGGCGAACCUUUGGCUGAGGACUGAGCUCUUUUCUCCCCAUGAACAUGUUACCCCCCAGAAACCUGGCCCGCGUGCAUUUUAUCCAGCAACGCACAUCCUGCGCGUCCCCGCCGAACGUCAUAUUGUGCAUAUGGUUCCACUGACUACAAUCUUUAUUUCUAGUAACUUCCCUUGUCCCUCUUUUCUUUCUCACCACCCACCUUUCCUCCCAGCCCAGGCCCCCCUCGGUGGGCGUCUGCAAACCCUUAGCUGCUCUGCCCGGGCGGACCUUCGUGACCACCACCACGGGCGGACGAGGACGCAGUGACCGUGUCAAGAAAGGCCACGGUGUCUCUUGGGAAAACUGCUCCAUGAACCCUGAGUUAUGUCCCCGUCUCCCGUGGCCACUGCAACAAAGUCCACAACCGGCUCUCCUUCUGCUUCUAGGGACACCGGCCAUUGGGCUAGGACCCCCUGGAAUCCAUUCGGACCUCCUCUGAACCUGUGCGGAGACCCUAUUUCCAAACAAGGUCAUGUUCACAGGUACUGGGGCUUGGGCCUUUGGACACCGUCGAAGACACACCAUGCCGCCACCCACGUAGUCCGGCUCCCGUGAGGCCGCCACGUGGGGAAGAGGCCCGGCAGCUCUAUCCGCCGCACUUGGAGCCUUGGCCCAGGCAGCAGACGGACGGGGCGGGGCGGGGCGGGGGGAGGAGCCACCACCCGCCCGUGACCGCGCUCGACACGCGGCACGGGAACUGCCAGCGGAACCCCUUCACCUCCAGACCCGCAAGCAGAAGGAGCCACGCUGUUGCGCGAACCACCGGUUUGGGGGGCACCGGGUAACGCACGCCCUGUCCCGCUUUCCACAAAGGCCACCGGCUGUCCGUUCCCCCAGCCAAGUCCGGGGUCGCCUCUUCCGUCCUGCCUCACCCUCCGCAUCGACUGAGCGUUACCACGCGCGACAUUUUUUUUUAGGCUUAUUGAUUUUGAGAGAGAACGAGAACCAGCAGGGGAGGGGCGGAGAGAGAGAGAAUCGGGGCCUUCCAUCCAGCAAACCCAACCGGGAGCCAGAGGCAGAGACCCCACGGAUGUGGCCCAUACGGGGCAGCUCCCAGGGCGCGACGCAGACAGGAGGGGCAGAAGGACAAGCCCGGGGAGACGUCCAGGGAAGUCUGACGAUGAACCCGCCAAGGUCAUCCUGUCAGCGGCUGCUGAGAUAUCUGGGCAUCUAGGGCUGGAAGAAACCUCCCCCGAGGCUUCUUAGUCUUUGAGAGGAAGCGGGGGCCCCACCGAAGAUCUGAUAAAAUCCAGGGUUUCCUCGCAGCAAUCGGGGAGGAACCCCUGUUCCUCCAGCUCCCAUCGCCUCCAGUUCCCAGCAGCACAAACACCACUUGAAACAGCUUUCUGCCAGAAAGGGAAUUGACCGUCUCACAGAGCGGUGUCAGGUAAGGGUAGAUCCAGGGUCCCAACACCGCCGGGGGUUGGCUCUCUCUCCGUCUCUGUGUUCUGCUUGUCGUCUCAACGCAUCAGUGCUUGGCUACAGCAGCCUGAGCUUAUCCCCCCAAGUUAGGAAGCCUCAAGGAAGAAACCCACCAGCUACACCCAGCAGAGGUUCUGAGGAAAGUUCUGGAGGUGGGGGGGGGGGGGGCACGCGUGAGCCACACGCCCAUCCCUCACCAACCACUUGUGUCCCCGUGGAUCCUGUCUCGUGGCUGGCCUCCUGCUCGGCGACUGACAGCCCCACCUCCCCCAUGGGAGAGGGAGACUGGGUGAGGAAGCUUUUCAAACCAACACUAACUGUGGUGACCACAGUCCACGCCCUUGGACACAUGACAUUUCAGGGACCGCUGACCACCGCCAACCUCUUUCCUUUACAGAAAGAGGAACAGAGCCAUAGAUCAAGGUCACCCAGUGAGUGGGGAACAAAGCCGUCUGGGCUUUCUCUCAGAGAGCCUGAAGCCUAUUAAAUCCUUAAAUGGCAUUAUCAAGGGACAGGCACUGAGUUUCCAUAAUCCUCCAUGGGGAUUAGGAAAAUGCAGCCGAGCUAAGCUCCUUCCAGGCACGAAACAGCCGCCUGCCCCCAGCACUGUGCUUCUCCUGAGCCCGCAGCAGCCCCUGGAGGGCAGACAGCAGCCCCUUCGGCAAACGCCCUCGGGCCUCAGGACCCCUCCCCACCUCAUAGCACCGCAGACCCUGAUCAUGAUGACCACAAACACUGGUGUCGUCUCACAGCUCAGGAAGCCUUCCAAAGGCACAGAUGGGUGUUCUGGGUGGAUGAAGCCACACGAGUGAAGGUGUCGAGGCUGGGCCUUGGGGUCGGCCCUGCCCCUAAAAUUGCAGAGCCUGGGGCAAGGGUCCGAUGGCCAAAGGCCCACCUGCUGUGGGUUCACUCCCCAUACAUGCACCCUCGACACUCCCCUUGGUCACCCUUGGUCUAGGGCCACGCACACACUAAUCCACACAUCAGGAGAAAAGUCCCCAGAGACCCCAGAAGGGGGUCAGGGCUGCUCCGACAGGGGACCAGAGGGGCCCCAGGCCGCGGUGCGUUUGGCAGGACCUGGGGGUGAUCCGUGAAGUAGACAGAGCUGGCCAGUCCCACGGGACCCUCACAACCUGGCUGGGAAGCUUGGGGGUGGUGCCUUGAGGGGCCUGGGUGCCGCGGGCACACGGGCAGCUCUGUGCUGGGAGACGGGGCUCCGGAUGCCGCGGGCAGGCAGUUGAGGGGGCACAGACGUGCUGAGCGGCCAAGCAGGAUCCGUGACAGCGGUGUCCCCAGGCUGGAGUCCAGGGCACGGACUGUCUGGGAUGCGUUUGAGGGACCCCCCAGAGGGGAGGAUUGCCCCCGCUCCGUGUGGAGCAGGGGUGAGGAAAAGCGGCAGUGUGCGGGGGUAAGAGCUGUAACCACCGGCUCUCACGUGGGAAAAGCCCUGAUUUGAAGCAGUGACCAGUUUCCAUGGUGUAAAUAUUCCCACUGUAGCUGAUGUCCAGACGCCAACAGGAUGUCAGGGAACAGAGUUGGGAAGAGAAACGCCGUAGCACAUUACCACGUGGCACCAGCUGGAUAGAGCGGACACAACCUCCAGAGCAGAGAUUAAAAAAGUAAGGCAGCCGGCAGGAAGCGGCCUGGACGGUCCAGCCUCACCACAAAGCCUUGCAUACCUGGCGGGGACCCUGCGGGAUCGACUGUCACCGACUGGCAAGACGCCCCAGACGCUCGAUUGUUGAUCCUGCUGAUGGCCGCUGACAGCCGCUGGGCACCAAUUCGGUGCCCGCGGGCCUGGUGAUCGUCACACGCUAUUGAUUGUAAUUAGCAGCCAUCCCGUGACACCAUUGCUACCAUUGUGACCCCAUUUCUACAGAUGAGACAAGUGAGCUCAGUCAGCAGCACACAGCUCGGAGGCAGAGGCUGGGGGGGCGGGGGGGGGGAGCUCAGGUUUGCCCGGCGGCCAGGCUCCGACGCCACCUUUCUGAGUGGGGGAAAGGACCAGGGGAGGGGAGGCGGGCUCCAGGGACC